AUUGAACGCUGGCGGCAGGCCUAACACAUGCAAGUCGAGCGGCAGCGGGAAAGUAGCUUGCUACUUUUGCCGGCGAGCGGCGGACGGGUGAGUAAUGCCUGGGGAUCUGCCCAGUCGCGGGGGAUAACUACUGGAAACGGUAGCUCAUACCGCAUACGCACUACGGGGGAAAGCAGGGGACCUUCGGGCCUUGCGCGAUUGGAUGAACCUAGGUUGGAUUAGCUAGGUGGUGAGGUCAUGGCUCACCAAGGCGACGAUCCCUAGCUGGUCUGAGAGGAUGAUCAGCCACACUGGAACUGAGACACGGUCCAGACUCCUACGGGAGGCAGCAGUGGGGAAUAUUGCACAAUGGGGGAAACCCUGAUGCAGCCAUGCCGCGUGUGUGAAGAAGGCCUUCGGGUUGUAAAGCACUUUCAGCGAGGAGGAAAGGUUGGUAGCUAAUAACUGCCAGCUGUGACGUUACUCGCAGAAGAAGCACCGGCUAACUCCGUGCCAGCCGCCGCGGUAAAAC
rnacentral:rRNA from 1 species